rnacentral:rRNA from 1 species
AUUGAACGCUGGCGGCAUGCCUUACACAUGCAAGUCGAACGGCAGCGCGGGAGCAAUCCUGGCGGCGAGUGGCGAACGGGUGAGUAAUAUAUCGGAACGUGCCCAGUAGUGGGGGAUAGCCCGGCGAAAGCCGGAUUAAUACCGCAUGAGACCUGAGGGUGAAAGCGGGGGAUCGCAAGACCUCGCGCUAUUGGAGCGGCCGAUAUCAGAUUAGCUAGUUGGUGGGGUAAAGGCCUACCAAGGCGACGAUCUGUAGCUGGUCUGAGAGGACGACCAGCCACACUGGGACUGAGACACGGCCCAGACUCCUACGGGAGGCAGCAGUGGGGAAUUUUGGACAAUGGGCGCAAGCCUGAUCCAGCAAUGCCGCGUGCAGGAAGAAGG